rnacentral:rRNA from 1 species
CGCAUAAUCUCUACGGAGAAAAGCAGGGGAUCGCAAGACCUUGCGCUUUUGGAGCGGCCGAUGUCUGAUUAGCUAGUUGGUGAGGUAAAGGCUUACCAAGGCUUCGAUCAGUAGCUGGUCUGAGAGGACGACCAGCCACACUGGGACUGAGACACGGCCCAGACUCCUACGGGAGGCAGCAGUGGGGAAUUUUGGACAAUGGGGGAAACCCUGAUCCAGCCAUGCCGCGUGAGUGAAGAAGGCCUUCGGGUUGUAAAGCUCUUUCAGCCGGAACGAAACGGUCAUGGCUAAUACCUGUGACUACUGACGGUACCGGAAGAAGAAG